GACGAACGCUGGCGGCGUGCUUAACACAUGCAAGUCGAACGGUGAAGCGCCUUCCUUUUUGGUGGUGUGGAUGAGUGGCGAACGGGUGAGUAACACGUGAGUAACCUGCCCCCUUCUUCUGGAUAACCGCAUGAAAGUGUGGCUAAUACGGGAUAUUCUGGGUCUGUCGCAUGAUGGGUCUGGGAAAGAUAUUGUUUCGGUGGGGGAUGGGCUCGCGGCCUAUCAGCUUGUUGGUGGGGUGAUGGCCUACCAAGGCGGUGACGGGUAGCCGGCCUGAGAGGGUGGACGGUCACACUGGGACUGAGACACGGACCAGACUCCUACGGGAGGCAGCAGUGGGGAAUAUUGCACAAUGGGCGCAAGCCUGAUGCAGCGACGCCGCGUGAGGGAUGGAGGCCUGCGGGUUGUGAACCUCUUUCGCCAGUGAAGCAGGCCUGCCUCGUUUGUGGGUGGGUUGACGGUAGCUGGAUAAGAAGCGCCGGCUAACUACGUG
rnacentral:rRNA from 1 species